GAUGAACGCUGGCGGCGUGCCUAAUACAUGCAAGUCGAGCGAACGGACGAGAAGCUUGCUUCUCUGAUGUUAGCGGCGGACAGGUGAGUAACACGUGGAUAACCUACCUAUAAGACUGGGAUAACUUCGGGAAACCGGAGCUAAUACCGGAUAAUAUUUUGAACCGCAUGGUUCAAAAGUGAAAGACGGUCUUGCUGUCACUUAUAGAUGGAUCCGCGCUGCAUUAGCUAGUUGGUAAGGUAACGGCUUACCAAGGCAACGAUGCAUAGCCGACCUGAGGGGGUGAUCGGCCACACUGGAACUGAGACACGGUCCAGACUCCUACGGGAGGCAGCAGUAGGGAAUCUUCCGCAAUGGGCGAAAGCCUGACGGAGCAACGCCGCGUGAGUGAUGAAGGUCUUCGGAUCGUAAAACUCUGUUAUUAGGGAAGAACAUAUGUGUAAGUAACUGUGCACAUCUUGACGGUACCUAAUCAGAAAGCCACGGCUAACUACGUG
rnacentral:rRNA from 1 species